AACGUAGGUCACAAGCGUUGUCCGGAAUUACUGGGUGUAAAGGGAGCGCAGGCGGGAAGACAAGUUGGAAGUGAAAUCUAUGGGCUCAACUCAUAAACUGCUUUCAAAACUGUUUUUCUUGAGUAGUGCAGAGGUAGGCGGAAUUCCCGGUGUAGCGGUGGAAUGCGUAGAUAUCGGGAGGAACACCAGUGGCGAAGGCGGCCUACUGGGCACCAACUGACGCUGAGGCUCGAAAGUGUGGGUAGCAAACAGG
rnacentral:rRNA from 1 species